CCCUUAGAUGUUCUGGGCCGCACGCGUGCUACACUGAGUGGAUCAGCGGGUCAGGUUGCGCGAAAGCGUUUCCUAAUCUUUAAAUCCGCUCGUGAUGGGGAUUGACGGUUGCAAUUUUCUGUCAUGAACGAGGAAUACCUUGUAAGCGCGGGUCAUCAUCCCGCGCUGAAUACGUCCCUGCCCUUUGUACACACCGCCCGUCGCACCUACCGAUUGAAUGGUCCGGUGAAGCCUCGGGAUUGUGGUUAGUUUCCUUCAUUGGAAGUUAGCCGCGAGAACUUGUCUAAACCUUAUCAUUUAGAGGAAGGUGAAGUCGUAACA
rnacentral:rRNA from 1 species